rnacentral:rRNA from 1 species
AUGAGGUGGAAACAGACAGAGCUGGCGUAUCUGGCUUGCAUUCAUCCGUGGGUCUUCGGACGUCAGGUUGUCUCUUUCCAGAUUGGAGCGGUUGCUUGUCUGUUCGGAGGCUUAUUGAGCAUUUGCAGGUGGAGUGUGCUGAGGUGCUCGGUGCAGCUGCAUGAUCUCGACCUUGAGGCCAGCCCUUCGGGGGUCUGGUACCCGGGUGUGGGGAGUGUUGUUUGCUCUGAGUAGUGCUGGUUGCAAUGGUUUCGGGUUCGUGUUGGUGUCGAGUUGGCAGUUGGUGGCGGUCGCAUGCGACACGUGCCGGCAGUCGGUUCGGUCCUUCUCGAGCUCUCGUUGCAUUUCUCAGUGUAAAAGCCGGUUACCUGUCUGACCCGUCUUGAAACACGGACCAAGGAGUUUAGCGUGUGCGCGAGUCAUUGGGAGUUGAAAACCCAAGGGCGCAAUGAAAGUGAAAGUCUCCCUCGUGGAGCUGAUGUGUGAUCCUGGACACCUCGGUGUUUGGGCGCAACAUGGUCCCGUCUCGAUCGCAUGCGAUGGGGCGGAGACAGAGCGUACGCGCUGAGACCCGAAAGAUGGUGAACUAUUCCUGAGCAGGAUGAAGCCAGAGGAAACUCUGGUGGAAGUCCGAAGCGAUUCUGACGUGCAAAUCGAUCG